UACGUAGGGUCCGAGCGUUGUCCGGAAUUAUUGGGCGUAAAGAGCUCGUAGGCGGUUUGUCGCGUCGUUCGUGAAAACUCACAGCUCAACUGUGGGCGUGCGGGCGAUACGGGCAGACUUGAGUACUGCAGGGGAGACUGGAAUUCCUGGUGUAGCGGUGGAAUGCGCAGAUAUCAGGAGGAACACCGGUGGCGAAGGCGGGUCUCUGGGCAGUAACUGACGCUGAGGCGCGACAGCGUGGGGAGCAAACAGG
rnacentral:rRNA from 1 species